rnacentral:rRNA from 1 species
AUUGAACGCUGGCGGCAUGCCUUACACAUGCAAGUCGAACGGCAGCACGGGUGCUUGCACCUGGUGGCGAGUGGCGAACGGGUGAGUAAUACAUCGGAACAUGUCCUGUAGUGGGGGAUAGCCCGGCGAAAGCCGGAUUAAUACCGCAUACGAUCUACGGAUGAAAGCGGGGGCCCUUCGGGCCUCGCGCUCUAGUGUUGGCCGAUGGCUGAUUAGCUAGUUGGUGGGGUAAAGGCCUACCAAGGCGACGAUCAGUAGCUGGUCUGAGAGGACGACCAGCCACACUGGGACUGAGACACGGCCCAGACUCCUACGGGAGGCAGCAGUGGGGAAUUUUGGACAAUGGGCGAAAGCCUGAUCCAGCAAUGCCGCGUGUGUGAAGAAGGCCUUCGGGUUGUAAAGCACUUUUGUCCGGAAAGAAAUCCUUGGCCCUAAUACGGUCGGGGGAUGACGGUACCGGAAGAAUAAGCACCGGCUAACUACGUG